UUUAGAGCAUAAUAAUUUUCACUAAAUGUAAUUAUAAUAAUCAGACGCGAAAUUAGAGUCAGUGUGUUUUGUUAUCAGUUGACAUAACGGACGCGUUAGUCUAUUAUUCUUUUUUUCUUUUUGUUAAACAUUCGUUUUCGGUAGUAAAGUCGCAGGUCUCGCAAGAGGAUAAAAGCCUUUCCUGGAACUCAAGAAUGUUUUUCAUAACUUGCAUUUUUUUCUUCUUCUUUGGGAAGGAUGUAGCGGUGUUUUAAAUUUAAGCAUGUAUGUCACUUCUUCCCCUUCUUCUUGUUCUCUGGAAAGGACCUAGUGGUGUUUCAAAAGCCAAAAUUUUUUCUUCCAUCGAAUUCGACGAUUCCAAUUUGAUGACGACUUGAUGACGAAUCUCUUGGAUCAGAACAAUAUCGAGGACAACACUCUUUACAUCUAAUCGUGAGUCGCAUGCGUUUUUGUUCCUCCGGUCACUCAAUCAUGUCUAAGGAUGAAGGGUCCGAAUCGACACGGGUGAUUGGUUGUAUACGUAGAAAUUUUUGACGAGCAUAGUGACCGCGGGUAUUUAUUAUACCUGUGAGUAGUAACAUUUUUGUCUACAUUUUAUUUAUUAGCUUAGGAUAGGUUUUCUUGCGCAUCGCGUUCUUAAAUGUUG